rnacentral:siRNA from 1 species
UUCAUCGUUUUCCCGUCCUUGG